rnacentral:rRNA from 1 species
GGGAAUUUUGCGCAAUGGGGGAAACCCUGACGCAGCAACGCCGCGUGGAGGAUGAAGUCUCUUGGGACGUAAACUCCUUUCGAUUGGGAAGAUUAUGACGGUACCAAUAGAAGAAGCCCCGGCUAACUUCGUGCCAGCAGCCGCGGUAAUACGAGGGGGGCAAGCGUUGUUCGGAAUUAUUGGGCGUAAAGGGUGCGUAGGCGGUUUGGUAAGUCUUGUGUGAAAUCUUCGGGCUCAACUCGAAGUCUGCACGAGAAACUGCCGGGCUUGAGUGUGGGAGAGGUGAGUGGAAUUUCCGGUGUAGCGGUGAAAUGCGUAGAUAUCGGAAGGAACACCUGUGGCGAAAGCGGCUCACUGGACCACAACUGACGCUGAGGCACGAAAGCUAGGGGAGCAAAC